AUCCAUGGCCAGAGGUCACAAGGUCACCAAGCGGCUUGGGUCUUUCCCCACCUCCCUUCUCUGACAGCUCCAGGCCAUUUUCUGAGUUUGGGUGGGGUAAAAUGUUUAUGGGAAACAAGGCGGCCAGGAUCCAACCAAGGCCUCAGUGAGGUCCCACGUGUCCCCUGUGGCGAGAUUUCGCCCUCCCGCCGUUGAGGAGGAAGAGUGUGAGAACAGACUUCCUAGGCACAGAAUGGAGGGGCAGAGUCCUGCAUUGAGGACUCCCUGCACUUGGGGUCCGAGGCUCACCGGGCGCCGUUCCCAGCCGCUUCUUACGCAGCCGGGAAACCAUAACGAGAUUUGGUCUUCGAGGGCAUUUAGGCCGGGACCACAACGAAUCCGGGAGUUGGCCAGAAGGAUCCAUCGAGAGGCGAAGAGUGGGGGCUGGGGGAGGAGGCACCUGCGGAGGAAGCCGGUGAGGCGGAGGCAGCCCAAAGGCUGAGGCAGCCCAAAGGCGGAGGCCAGCAAGGAUGGAGGCGCGCUCCGGAGUGGGCCCGGGCGGCGUGAUCCGCGUCCCUGCGCACCGCCCGCUGCCUGUGCCGCCGCCCGCGGCGGGGGCGCCUGCAGUGCCUGGGCCCUCGGGUUUGGGCGGCGCCGGAGGCCUAGCGGGACUCACCUUCCCCUGGAUGGACAGCGGCCGCCGCUUUGCCAAGGACCGGCUCACGGCUGCGCUCUCGCCCUUCUCUGGGACGCGC
rnacentral:sRNA from 1 species